UCCCAGACUCCUAUGGGAGGCAGCAGUGGGGAAUAUUGCACAAUGGGGGAAACCCUGAUGCAGCGACGCCGCGUGAGUGAAGAAGUAAUUCGUUAUGUAAAGCUCUAUCAGCAGGGAAGAAAAUGACGGUACCUGAGUAAGAAGCCCCGGCUAACUACGUGCCAGCAGCCGCGGUAAUACGUAGGGGGCAAGCGUUAUCCGGAUUUACUGGGUGUAAAGGGAGCGUAGACGGCAGUGCAAGUCUGGAGUGAAAGGCGGGGGCUCAACCCCCGGACUGCUCUGGAAACUGUACGGCUGGAGUGCAGGAGAGGUAAGUGGAAUUCCUAGUGUAGCGGUGAAAUGCGUAGAUAUCAGGAGGAACACCGGCGGCGAAGGCGGCCUGCUGGACCGUGACUGACGUUGAGGCUCGAGAGCGUGGGGAGCAAACAGGAUUAGAUACCCCUGUA
rnacentral:rRNA from 1 species